UACGGAGGGUGCAAGCGUUAUCCGGAUUCACUGGGUUUAAAGGGUGCGUAGGAGGACAGGGAAGUCCGUGGUGAAAUCUCCGAGCUUAACUCGGAAACUGCCGUGGAUACUCUCUGUCUUGAAUCCCCUGGAGGUGAGUGGAAUAUGUCAUGUAGCGGUGAAAUGCUUAGAUAUGACAUAGAACACCGAUUGCGAAGGCAGCUCACUACAGGGGGUAUUGACUCUGAGGCACGAAAGCGUGGGGAUCAAACAGG
rnacentral:rRNA from 1 species